GUUGGACCAAAGUCCUGAGUCGUUGUGGAUUUUACAGAGAAUAAAUGUUUCUAGAAGCUGCUGUUGGACUCAGUUUUCCUGUGAACUUAGAGGGUUUGUGUUGAAUUCAAAUGGAAGCAGAUGGAACAAAUAGAAACAGAAUCCAGAAUGGGAGAAUCCUGAGCUGCUUUUUAAACUGAGCUGCUCUCAGUCCGAUGGACCAGGACUGGAGUCUGAAGGGGACAAACAGCAAGACCUAAAACUGUGAAAGACCAUUUGAAGACGAGGAGAGAUUAUUGACUUUGUCAGGUGAUUGUUGGAGUUGAUAUUAAACCAAACAUCAUCUCAGGGAACAGUGUUACAGGAAUCUGUCCCACAAAAAGACUGAGAGCACAAAGACAUGAGACAGAGUUCGACAACACAACUGAAACCAGUUCAGACUGAGUCAGACUGGUUCUGUAAUGUGUUUGUGUUUCUCACAAAAACACAUGCUGAUGUUAACAUAUGUGAAAAAUUAAGAAUAACUAAAAAUGAGAAAGAAAAUGAUGAAGAUCUAAAAUGAAACAGAGAAACAUGGACAGACGUGGGUUAAAUAAUGAACUGGCCAUAAAAAGAAAAAACAUGGAAAAUAUAUUAAAAAGAAGCAAAAUGUUUUUUUAUUGCAUGUUCACAAAUAGAAUAAGAGUUUAAACAGUGUUUUAUUGAAUCUUCAGUCUCCUUGAUGAUGUAGAGCUGGUUGAAGAGGAGCUGGACCUGAUCUAAUCCAGUCUACAUGAGACAGCAGCAGCAUUCAGAUGUCUCCUUUAAGAUAAAUAGAGUUUGAACAGUGUUUCUAAAACAUGUUUACUAGGAUUAAAGGAUUAAAGAUGAGAGAAAAGGUCUCUGUGGAUCCAGAGUCACUUUAACUAAUCAGAGGCUAAAUUCAACUUCAACUUGUUGGAUUUACUGAUGAACACCAAACUGUCUCUUCGUCCUCCAUCUGGAUUCUGGAUUCAUUUCAGGACUGAAGGACUAAACCUGGACCUCAUUCAAACUUUAAAGAAGUAAGUUUGUCUUCUUUGUUUCUUGAUUAGCUUGUUGAAGCUAGCCACAUUAGCUGCACAGUAAUGCUACACGGCUAACGUGGCUAACGUGGUUAGCUUCUCUAAAACUCUAAAGUAGGAGAUGUUUUGGGCUAAUUUCACAGUCAAGAUGUCACAGAGACGUGGUUUAAAACCUUUAAAACUAUUUUAAGGCUUUAAGGAUUAGAUUGGAUGAUGGUGAAGCAGCCUGUUUAAAACCAGCUGCUUUUAAAGGGGUCGAUUAAUAUAACCUGUGAUUUACAGACACAUUUAGUGGAUUUUCAGGAAGCUGCUUCUUAAAAUUAGCAUUUUAAAGUUUACUCAAACACAGUAAAGUUAAUUUAAUAAAAACAGUAUAAGACUUACGUACUCCUCUAAGAAAACAAAGUAUUUAAAACACGUGUGUGUAACAGGAGAAAACUAAAGACUCAGUGAAGUAUUGUUUUUAUUGUUUUUAUCAGUACUGGUUGAUAAUCAUUAAUAAUUGAUUGUAACUGUGUAGAUAAUUACACAUUUGUUCAGUCUGUAAGAGACAAACUCACUGAUUAUAUUUAAAACCACUUUACACAGACUGGAUCAUGUUAAUAUGUGAACCUUGAGGUUUCUAAAGGAAACAUCACCAGUAGGUUACUUGACUUUUAUACUGUUUUGUGCCUAAAUCUUCAAAUCGAAGUUCAAAUGUUUUACAGAAAGAGUUUCUCUUUCAUAACCAGCUGGUUUAUCAGUUCUAUUUUAGAUGUUG
ensembl:lncRNA